ACCAUUCCUGUGAGGUGAAGUCAGAUUGU
rnacentral:piRNA from 1 species